ensembl:lncRNA
AGCACUGGCCCUUCCUGUCUUGAUCACAAUUAGAGCAAACAAGGGAACAAGGAAGCCUGCAAUGGAUUGUCAGAAUGGUUGACCUGAUAUUGGAGAGCUUGCUGGAGAGCCUCACCUAACUGUUUUCUGGCUUCUGAGUGGGUGUUAGAGCGUGCAGUAUCCAUACUGGCAUAGGCUCAGAUGUAGACCCGAAGUGGCUCUCAGAUAAAUUAGGAGUGAUUUUGAGCAAAACAUGUCAACUUGCAUACAAAAGUAAAUCCAGUUGAAACUUGUCAUGAAGAGGAGAAUAUGCUUAAAACGUUCAUCAGAGCAAUUAUUGUGGACAUGUGGUGUCUCUAGCCUGAGAUAUCCUGCUUGCAUCCAAGUGAGGAGAUUGGCGUCAUCUGAUUUCUUUUCUCCUCGGCUGGUGUGUACAAAGAGUUCUGGCUUCCCACUGAGGUCAGUGAGGCAGCUUGUGGACUAACCCAAUGCUGUCCAAAGCUGUCUCAAUAUCAAGUACAGCAGAAUUGGGUAUGAGUAGCAGCAAUUAAGCAGAAUCAGUGCCUGCUUCUUCGUGGUAGGAUGCUACUAAGACACUAGUGAAACACAUGCUCAUCAUAUCAUCAGUACAGGCUUUUUGAACAAUGUUAAUCAAAUAAGUAAAUCUGAGCUCACAAGUAAGAGAGGAGGAAGGAUACAAAGGCUGGUGAGAACCAGAUCUUGCUUGAACUGCAUUGUUUUAAAUACCAGUGAAUGUAAAACUAGUUUGUACUGAUGCUAUUUUUUGAAAAGAGCCUAGUAAGAAUGACACUGCAAUAGCCAAUGAAGUUAGCUAGUAAAGCUAGAAUCUUUAACCCAUAAAGGAUAUACGGCUUAAAGAUCCUAGUUUUAUCAAGAAAAAAAAAAAAAACUGUUCUAAAUUCCACUUCUACAAAUUUAGACUUGUCCUUAAGAGUCAAGUUAUUUCUGGCUUUAACAAUGCUGAAAUUAAAAAUAGCACGUCAUUUAACUCUUCUGGGAUAUUUGUCUGCAACUCCCUUGAAACCAGAGGAAAUAGAAGGAUAUCUACAAUAUAUAUAUUUCCCAUUUCUACACAGAAUUUGCAGUCAUGCUGAUUUGAGAAGGAAGGGAGCACCACUCUUCCACCACCAUGCAGUGGUUAUGCAAAAUUAGCCGAAUUAAAACAACAACAUGUUAUUUUUAACAAAAUAAACAAGGAGGACUGCACAC